AAGUGGCGUCCGGCUGCGCACCUCCCCCGCGGGGGUUCGCGCGGUCCGUACCUCCCACCCGUGUUUACUGAACCAUUGUUGCCUUGGCAGGCCUGCCGGGCCUCCGGCUGCCGGGGAUCGCCCGCCUUGCGCGGCGUCCCGGGCGCGCGCCUGCCAGCGGAUCAAUUGAACUCUUAUGUGAAGAUUGUCAGUCUGAGCAUCAUAGCAAAAAUCAAACAAAACUUUCAACAACGGAUCUCUUGGUUCCGGCAUCGAUGAAGAACGCAGCGAAAUGCGAUAAGUAAUGUGAAUUGCAGAAUUCCGUGAAUCAUCGAAUCUUUGAACGCACAUUGCGCCCUCUGGUAUUCCGGGGGGCAUGCCUGUUCGAGCGUCAUUGCAAACCCUUCAAGCACGGCUUGUGUGUUGGGCCAAACGUCCCCGCUUGUGUGGACGGGCCUGAAAUGCAGUGGCGGCACCGAGUUCCUGGUGUCUGAGUGUAUGGGAAAUCACUUCAUCGCUCAAAGACCCGAUCGGGGCCGAUCUCUUUUUUUUAUUAUAUCCGGU
rnacentral:rRNA from 1 species